GUGGCCAGUCACGGCUGCCCGCUUUCCACACCUGACCUCUUCAGUUCAUCAGUGGGGUUCACCAGCAUCACCCCCAUUUUUCAUGGGGAGAAACUCAGAAGUGGAGAGAACGUCUGAGGCUACAUAGCCAGUACAAAACAAGGUCUCCUUGUCUCACCCAAGCUGGAGUGCAGUGGUGCAAUGAUCGCCUGACCUACCUCCACCUUCCAAGAGUAACAGUGCUCCUGCUCCAAUGUGACCUUACAAAUCUUACAUAGAUUUCUCUGUGGUCAACUCUAAUCAGCAACACUCAGAGACACUCAGUGAAGAAAGCCCUGGGAAACACUAUUUAGUUUAGCCCAGGGGAAAUUACAAGGCCAUGUCACCUUGAAACUGGAACAUGAGGAGAGGUGAGGAUGGAGCUGCUGCAGCCAUGUUGUUACCAUAAAGGGAAAGCCCAGAGCUGCUGGGCAGCUUUGUGGAGCCCAGG
ensembl:lncRNA novel transcript, sense overlapping to MACC1